AGCAAAUAAUUGCCCCAAGCUUGCAGCAAACAAUUGCCGCAAGCUUGCGGCAAAUCUAAUUUGCAUAAUUAUGUUUGCAGCAAGUUUGCCGCAAACUUCAUUUGCAUGGUAAAAUGGUUGCGGCAAGUUUGCAGCAGAACGUUUACUGCAAGCUUGCGGCAAUGUUUGCC
rnacentral:sRNA from 1 species